AUUGAACGCUGGCGGCAGGCCUAACACAUGCAAGUCGAGCGAGCGGCGGACGGGUGAGUAAUGUAUGGGGACUGCCCGAUAGAGGGGGAUAACUACUGGAAACGGUAGCUAAUACCGCAUACUAUCGGAUAACCCAGAUGGGAUUAGGUAGUAGGUGAGGUAAUGGCUCACCUAGGCGACGAUCCCUCGCUGGUCUGAGAGGAUGAUCAGCCACACUGGGACUGGGACACGGCCCAGACUCCUACGGAGGCAGCAGUGGGGGAUAUUGCACAAUGUGCGAAAGCCUGAUGCAGCGACGCCUCGUGGGGGAUGAAGGCUUUCGGGUUGUAAACCUCUUUCGCUAUCGAACGGGGAGGUGGAGAAGAAGCGCCGGCUAACUACGUGCCAGCAGCCGCGGUAAUAA
rnacentral:rRNA from 1 species